UACGGAGGUGCGAGCGUUGUCCGGAAUCAUUGGGCGUAAAGGGCGCGUAGGUGGCCCAGUCAGCGUGCGGUGAAAGCUCGGGGCUCAACCCCGGGUCGGCCGUGCGAACUACUGGCUGGAGCACUGUAGAGGCAGGCGGAAUUCCGGGUGUAGCGGUGGAAUGCGUAGAGAUCCGGAAGAACACCGGUGGCGAAGGCGGCCUGCUGGGCAGUUGCUGACACUGAGGCGCGACAGCGUGGGGAG
rnacentral:rRNA from 1 species